UGUUAAAAAGCUCGUAGUUGGAUCUCAACAGCCUUGAAGCGGUUAACUUUGUAGUUUUACUGCUUUAUAGGCUGUGCUUUUGCUGGAGGUUUAGGGGUGCUCUUGAUCGAGUGUCUCUGGAUGCCAGCAGGUUUACUUUGAAAAAAUUAGAGUGCUCAAAGCAGGCUAAAAUGCCUGAAUAUUCGUGCAUGGAAUAAUAGAAUAGGAUGUCGAUCCUAUUUUGUUGGUUUUCGGGACUCGACAUAAUGAUAAAUAGGGACAGUCGGGGGCAUUUGUAUUCAAACGACAGAGGUGAAAUUCUUGGACCGUUUGGAGACAAACUACUGCGAAAGCAUUUGCCAAGAAUGUUUUCAUUAAUCAAGAACGAAAGUUAGAGGUUCGAAGGC
rnacentral:rRNA from 1 species